rnacentral:rRNA from 1 species
UACGUAGGGUGCAAGCGUUAAUCGGAAUUACUGGGCGUAAAGCGUGCGCAGGCGGUUCGCUAAGACAGAUGUGAAAUCCCCGGGCUUAACCUGGGAACUGCAUUUGUGACUGGCGGGCUAGAGUAUGGCAGAGGGGGGUAGAAUUCCACGUGUAGCAGUGAAAUGCGUAGAGAUGUGGAGGAAUACCGAUGGCGAAGGCAGCCCCCUGGGCCAAUACUGACGCUCAUGCACGAAAGCGUGGGGAGCAAACGGG